rnacentral:rRNA from 1 species
AGUGAACGCUGGCGGUAGGCCUAACACAUGCAAGUCGAACGGCAGCACAGUAAGAGCUUGCUCUUACGGGUGGCGAGUGGCGGACGGGUGAGGAAUACAUCGGAAUCUACUUUUUCGUGGGGGAUAACGUAGGGAAACUUACGCUAAUACCGCAUACGACCUACGGGUGAAAGCAGGGGAUCUUCGGACCUUGCGCGAUUGAAUGAGCCGAUGUCGGAUUAGCUAGUUGGCGGGGUAAAGGCCCACCAAGGCGACGAUCCGUAGCUGGUCUGAGAGGAUGGGCAGCCACACUGGAACUGAGACACGGUCCAGACUCCUACGGGAGGCAGCAGUGGGGAAUAUUGGACAAGGGGCGCAAGCCUGAUCCAGCCAUACUGCGUGGGUGAAGAAGGCCUUCGGGUGGUAAAGCCCUUUUGUUGGGAAAGAAAAGCAGCAGGUUAAUACCCCGCUGUUCUGACGGUACCCAAAGAAUAAGCACCGGCUAACUUCGUG